GUGAGGAAUAUUGCACAAUGGGCGAAAGCCUGAUGCAGCAACGCCGCGUGAGUGAUGAAGGCCUUUGGGUCGUAAAACUCUGUCCUUGGGGAAGAAAAAAAUGACGGUACCCUUGGAGGAAGCCCCGGCUAACUACGUGCCAGCAGCCGCGGUAAUACGUAGGGGGCAAGCGUUAUCCGGAAUUAUUGGGCGUAAAGAGUGCGUAGGUGGUUUUGUAAGCGUAGGGUGAAAGGCAGUAGCUCAACUAUUGUUAGCCCUGCGAACUGUGAGACUUGAGUGCAGGAGAGGAAAGUGGAAUUCCUAGUGUAGCGGUGAAAUGCGUAGAUAUUAGGAGGAACACCAGUGGCGAAGGCGACUUUCUGGACUGUAACUGACACUGAGGCACGAAAGCGUGGGUAGCAAACAGGAUUAGAUACCCGAGUAGUCC
rnacentral:rRNA from 1 species